CCAGGGAGGGUGGGUUUGGGGCGGGAGGGCUGUGGGGAGGGUAUGGCUGAGUGGAUGGAGCAGCCUUAGUCACCGGGAGCAGCUCAGCUACUGGCGAUAACCCCAGGAGGUGGUAGGUGUCUGCUUGUGCUAACUCUUGUGCAACUGGCCUGGGUCAAACGGGUGCCUUUCAGGCUGCCCUUGGCCAAACUGUAUCUGGUUUAUGGGCAAAAGAGGAAAACAAAACAAAAAAUUUAAAAAAAUCAAAUCUCGUGGACCUCGCACAUGGCCUCCUGAGCUGUGCUCUUGGCUCCCGGUGGUGGGUUUUGAACUUGGUAGGUUGUUGAGCCUUUGUGUGCUUUGGUAUCUCCAUCUAUGAACUAGAGAUAACAGUUGGCUUCAUGCAGGGAUUAAUUAUCGCGUCUUGUAGUCACGUAUUUGUUUAUUUGUUUUUACUGUAGAUUACAGCUGGAGGAAUUCUAAACAGUCCACCUCUCCUUGUCAUGGUGUUUAAGCGCAUUGUGCUCCUGUCUGAACGGAGGAAAUCACUGAGAGGUCAAAGUCUACUGCGAGCAGUGACUGAUUCAAUCCCCCGUGUAAGUCAGGUCGGGCUGCCUGCGCGGCAGGUCCUAACGGCAGGGCAGUUUGUGCAAGAGCACCUUGGAAGGUUGUUUGUGCGGCUUUCUCUGUGGUUCCUGUGAUGAUCCCAGGAAGCAGGAGGAGAUCCAGAACUGUCUGAAAGCCCAGAGCCAGGAUUCUUUGAAAUCCCAAACAAGUAAUGAUGAGAGACUUGGCUGAGGCCGACCUGCUAGCCUGCCUCCUGCGCUGCUUCUUAUAUGUGUCCAAAAAGCUGCUUCCAGUUUAUGUGAUUGCACUCUAGUAAACAAUUUUUUCAUGCAGAUAUGGGCAGCAGAUGUUACUCAUGCCUGUGUGAACACUUCAACGUGUUUACAACAGGGGACGUUCCUCAGAUCUAGUUAUAUUAAACAAUGGAUGUAGCCACCAGAAGGAAGUCCCACUGGUAACAGCCAUUCUGUCGUAGCUUGCUCAAAACAUUUUGAAGGGUGGUCACGCCAUCUCUCUUUGGGCACUCGAGGGGAUUGACUCACAAAUAUGAGCAAAAUAAAAUUAGAUGGCUUAAGUGGCUGCA
rnacentral:lncRNA from 1 species